UCUGGCUCAGGAUGAACGCUAGCUACAGGCUUAACACAUGCAAGUCGAGGGGCAGCAUUGGAGUAGCAAUACUCAGAUGGCGACCGGCGCACGGGUGAGUAACACGUAUCCAACCUGCCGCUUACUCGGGGAUAGCCUUUCGAAAGAAAGAUUAAUACCCGAUGGUAUAAAGAGUUCGCAUGUUCUCUUUAUUAAAGAAUUUCGGUAAGCGAUGGGGAUGCGUUCCAUUAGAUAGUUGGCGGGGUAACGGCCCACCAAGUCUACGAUGGAUAGGGGUUCUGAGAGGAAGGUCCCCCACAUUGGAACUGAGACACGGUCCAAACUCCUACGGGAGGCAGCAGUGAGGAAUAUUGGUCAAUGGACGAGAGUCUGAACCAGCCAAAGUAGCGUGAAGGAUGACUGCCCUAUGGGUUGUAAACUUCUUUUAUAAGGGAAUAAAGUGAGGGACGUGUCCCUUUUUGUAUGUACCUUAUGAAUAAGGAUCGGCUAACUCCGUGCCAGCCGCCGC
rnacentral:rRNA from 1 species